AGUAACACGUGAGUAACCUGCCCUUGACUCUGGGAUAAGCCUGGGAAACUGGGUCUAAUACCGGAUAUGACUCCUCAUCGCAUGGUGGGGGGUGGAAAGCUUUAUUGUGGUUUUGGAUGGACUCGCGGCCUAUCAGCUUGUUGGUGAGGUAAUGGCUCACCAAGGCGACGACGGGUAGCCGGCCUGAGAGGGUGACCGGCCACACUGGGACUGAGACACGGCCCAG
rnacentral:rRNA from 1 species